CCCCUCCUGCGGCUCAGGACCAGGGAGAGGGGCCAGCCCCGCACCACCUUCCCGCCCCGGGCGGGCGCUCAUCUCCGUGGCGCCGCAAUGGGCGCCAGCCGCCGUACCGCUGUGGGGGGCCCGCGCCCUACCCCUGGGCUGGGGGGGCCGCGCCUUCCCCACCUGCCUCGCGGCCUGGGGCGGCCCGGGACUGGGCGGGGGCGGCGGAGCCUCCUGGCCCCGAGGGGGAGGGGCGGGCGCGCCGCGCUGGUGGCGCUCGCCGGGGCGUGCGGGAGGUGGCGCCGUGAGGCGGGCGGAGCGUGAGCGGCGCCUCCCGCUGCUCGGGCGGCCUCCUGCGGCCGGGCCCCGCUGCGGGGCGGCGGGGGGACGUGGGCGCCGCUGCCCCCCGCAGCCCGCCGCUCCACUCUGCUCCGCGCCGCCCCGCCCCUCCCCCGCCGCCGCCGCCGCCCCUCCCCCUGCUGCCGCUCCCCCGCCUCUCCCCGGUGCGCGGCCAUUGCAGUGACCCCGGCGGGCGGGCGGGCGAGCGAGCGAGGGAGGAUGAUCACGAACACGCGGGGCUUCUUGUGGUCGGACCUGGAGACGCGGGCGCUGCUGGAGAUCUGGGGCGAGGCGGACGUGCAGUCGGCGCUGGACGGCAACUUUCGCAACAGCCAUGUGUACCGCGACGUGGCGUGCCGCCUGGCCGAGCUGGGCUUCGAGCGCACGCCCGAGCAGUGCCGCAUCCGCAUCAAGGGCCUCAAGCGCCAGUACUACCAGGCCCGCGAUGGGCUGAAGAAGAACGGGCACGCCCGCAAGAUCUGCAAGUACUACGACGAGAUGGACCGGAUCCUCAGCUGCCGCGACGGGCCUCCGCCGCCCCCCGGCCCGCCGCCGCCACUGCCCCCGGACGGGCUGCCUGCCGAGCCUGCACCCCCGCUGCCCUUGCCCUUGCCCCUGGGCUUGCCCGCUGGGGGGCCGCCCACGCCAGGCGCCCCUCGCCUGCCCGACAGCGAUGCGCUGGAUGAGGACGGUGAGCUGGAGUCCCCCCGGGACAACUUCACCGAGGACUCCGGAGAGUGCUCGUCCUCCUACACUGAGCACCCCGUCAAGGUGGAGUGCCCGCCCUUCGCCAUCCCUGUGCCACCUGCCGACGGCUUUAAGGAAAUCAAUACACAAACCAGUACAGCGCCACUAAGUCAGCCCAAAAGAUCAAAAAAACGCCACGCAAAUUUAACACUGGAUAAGAUGAUGGAAAAAUUUCUGCAGCAAAGCGUGGAUACAGAAGAGAAAUUUUACAAAUACGAAGAGCAGCGGUUGAAAAUUGAGGACAAGCGCCGUGAAGCUGAGCAUGCUCGUGAGCUCCAGAUGUUACAGAUGUUGGGACAGAUGUUGGCAGGAAUUUCUUCUACAGUAUCACAGAGGUCUCAGUCUAUACCAGCUAGCCCACCUCAGAGAGCAAAUCAUCGCUCAUAUGGAGAUAACUUUAAUUAUAAUGCUAUGACAGCCACACUUUCUCCGCCGAUAGUUAUAGAGAGAUCCUUCUCGUUACAUAAAACACAUUCUAUAAAGGAUAUGGAGAAUAUUUUUCAGUUGGUGCGCAAUGUAAUCCCUCCUCUAGCAGGAAAGAAGCAUAAGGGUCAAGAUGGACGUAUAGGCAUCAUUGGAGGAUGUCAAGAGUACACAGGAGCUCCGUAUUUUGCUGCAAUUACAGCUCUCAAAGUGGGUGCAGAUUUAUCCCACGUAUUUUGUACCAAAGAUGCAGCAACUGUAAUAAAGUCAUAUAGUCCGGAGCUGAUUGUUCAUCCAGUUCUUGACAGUCCUAAUGCUGUUCAUGAAGUGGAAAAGUGGUUACCACGACUGCAUUCAAUUGUCAUAGGACCCGGUUUAGGUAGAAAUGAUGUACUACUUGAGAAUGCUAAGGGUAUUAUAGAAAAAUCCAAGGUCAAAGGAAUCCCCAUUGUCAUUGAUGCCGAUGGAUUGUGGCUCAUUUCCCAACAGCCUUCUCUUAUUCAAGGCUACCAGAGAGCUAUUCUUACUCCAAAUUAUAUGGAGUUCAGCAGACUGUAUGAAGCUAUGCUUAGAGACCCUGUAGAUAGUAAUGAUCAUCAUGGAUGUGUGUUAAGGCUCAGCCAAGCCAUGGGAAAUUUGACAGUUGUUCAGAAGGGAGAACGAGAUCUUAUUUCAGAUGGAGAAAAAGCCUGGUCCUCAUUUGUUGAUUUCCUGCUCUACAAAGAUGAGCCCCACCAUGCACUUGGUAGGUGAUAUCAGUCCCAUCAGUGAGCAGGGCAGGCGUGAGUACUCAGCCUUUGGGGAAGAGUACUCGUAUGCAGUCAUGAAGGAAGCAGCAGAAGAUGUGGUGGACAAGGAGACCUCCUAUCAGGUUCCCUUGGAGUCUUAGCACAUUG